UCAUGACCUGAGCCAAAGUCAGACGUUCAACCGACUGAGCCACCCAGGUUUUAUCUGGAAGGAUUCACACCAAUAUGUUGCCUAUGGAAUCUCCAGGAUGUGGAUCAACAGCAUGAAUACGCUUGUUACUUUAUAAGCAUGUUCCUACAGGCAUUCUCUGUUUUAUUGCACUUCACAGAUAUUGUGCUUUUUACCAGUUGAAGGUUGGUAGCAACCUGCAUCGAGCAAAUCUAUUUGCACCAUUUUCCUGACAGCAUUUCCUCACUUUGUGUCUCUGUGUCACCUUUUGGUAAUUCUCGCGAUAGUUCAAACUUUUCCGUCAUUAUUGUAUUUGUUAUGCCGAUCUGUGAUCAGUGAUUACAGCUCAAUGAAAGCUCAGAUGAUAGUAUGUUUUAGCAUUAAAAUGUUUUUGAAUUGA